GGGGGGACGGAGAAGGCUAGGUGGGCCUGGCGACGGUUGUCCAGGUUCAAGUGCGUAGGCUUAAGAGUUAGGUAAAUCCGGCUCUUUUUAAGGCUGAGACACGACGUCGAGCACCUACGGGUGUGAAGUCAUUGAUGCCAUGCUUCCAGGAAAAGCCUCUAAGCUUCAGAUUGUAAGGAAUCGUACCCCAAACCGACACAGGUGGUCGGGUAGAGAAUACCAAGGCGCUUGAGAGAACUCGGGUGAAGG
rnacentral:rRNA from 1 species